UACGUAGGGUGCGAGCGUUAAUCGGAAUUACUGGGCGUAAAGCGUACGCAGGCGGUUCGUUAAGUUCGUUGCUAAAGCCCCGGGCUCAACCUGGGAACUGCAAUGGAAACUGGCGGGCUUGAGUGUGGCAGAGGGGGGUGGAAUUCCGCGUGUAGCAGUGAAAUGCGUAGAGAUGCGGAGGAACACCGAUGGCGAAGACAGCCCCCUGGGCCAACACUGACGCUCAGGCACGAAAGCGUGGGGAGCAAACAGG
rnacentral:rRNA from 1 species